AAGCACUAACGACGCAGAGCGGCUUACCCCCAUGGCACAAUGAACGAACACCUUCCCUGCGAAAGAAGAGGCACAGCAAGAACAUUAAGCUGAAGCAGUAAAAGGAAAUCAAGAAAAAGAUAAUACGGGUUCUACAUCAGGAGAUUCAUAAGACCACAGGCUCAUUUUCAAGGAGUGUGGAUGACUCUCAGUUGCUGCAGAUGUUUAAAAGCUGAAGUUGUGGAGGUAGUGCUUAACACUAUGGCUCUUUGUCCUCCUGAUGGAAAAAUCCAGAUGGAAAGAAGUGUGGU